AGAAUCAACGCUGGCGGCGUGCCUAACACAUGCAAGUCGAACGCGAAAGUCCCGAAAGGGAUGAGUAGAGUGGCAAACGGGUGAGUAACGCGUGGGUGACCUACCUUCGAGUGGGGGAUAACGUUCCGAAAGGGACGCUAAUACCGCAUGACAUCCUGCCUUUUAAGAGGCGGAGAUCAAAGCCGGGGAUCGCAAGACCUGGCGCUUGGAGAGGGGCCCGCGUCCGAUUAGCUAGUUGGUGGGGUAACGGCCUACCAAGGCAACGAUCGGUA
rnacentral:rRNA from 1 species